GUGUGAAUAUAAUCUCCAUUAGGAAAUUGGUUUUGGGCUUCGAAAGUAUCAAUUUUUAAGGAAAACAUAUAGACCAUCAAAUUCAUAUUCUUUAGUUUGGGCAGGGGCUGCGCGAACGCAAGCCCCCACGGCAACAAAUUAUGACAUUGACUCUCCUACAUUGAGGAGAUCAUAGGCAGGCACCCCUUCAGAGUGCAAUGAAGGUCACCAGCCCAGGCCAUGAGCCUUCUUGAUCGCUCAUAGACCCUGUCCAGGUAAGUACUUUCUUCGGUACUCGUCCUUUAUUUUUAUACCCAUACCGCCUCAUUUCUUUGACCUUAAUUGGUCGAUGUGGGACAUGCUUACUGAUCAGCAGUAAUCCAAAAAUGUAGUUCGAAGGUUUUUUUUAAGGUACUUUGGAAAGUUCAUGGAUUGUUAGACGAAUUAUUAAGUGGGGGCAGCAGUGGCAAAGCAACGAAAGCACAGGGGAGGAACCGCCCAUCUGGUUCGUCUGAGCUUGCCGAAAAAUUUAGUUAUGCAGCCUGCGUUGAGCUUGUCGGAAAGUUGGCUGAGGAGAGCCUCGAUUGACUCCAUGGUCAUUUGGGAGAGCCUUGAUUUUACCUUAGGAGUGUGAUAUCUACACACCCUAUUUUACUUCUCACAUACCUUUUUAAUUUUUGAUCUUCCUAUCGAAUGAAUUGAAGAAUAUCAACGGACAGAAAUUAUCAAGGAGUAUGUGGAUAACACAUCCCUUACUUUAAUGUUGUCGUUUUUUUUAAUAUAGAAGGAGGACAAUUAAUGGCAAGCCAUAGUUAUUUUAAUGAAACAUUGAGGAUAGAUAUGUACUAAGAGAAAGGAUCCUCGUCGGAUCCUUUUUGUAAGAAUUUUGGGGAUCUUCCAAUCAUAUUCAUUCAUCGUACAUCGUGCGGUCAGUUUUUAUCAGGUACUGUUUAUAUUUAAUUUUAAAUACAAAAUUUAGAAUAAUUUUUUAUAAUAUGAUGUAUGAUAAACAUAUGUGAUUGGAGGAUCCGACAAGGAUCCUCCUGGAUGUACUGAUACCCCUUUCCUUAUCCUUUAAAACCCCACCUCACCUGUCCCACCAAUACAACAACCAAAACAUCUAUUUUCAUAUAUUUUGACUUUUGCAAUAUAUAUUUAUGUAAUCAUUUUAUAUAAAAGAACCAAAGCAUCUAUUUCCAUCUAUUUCCGUAUAUUUUGACAUUUUGCAAUGUAUAUUUAUAUACCAUUAUUGUACAUUAAUGCAUAUUUUUGUUAACGUAUCCAUGCCGUCUUAUAUCCUAAUUUUUAGAAAAUAGUUGUAUCGUUGUAUUUGUGUCCCUAUCCAUACCACAUAGUUAUUAUCUAAAAGGAUUUGGUUGUUUUUAUUUUUCCAGAACUUUUUACCCUUUUAAAUUUCGCAACCCAGACGAUUUCUGAUUGCGCCACUAAAAGGGAUGAUUGAAAAUUUAGGAAUGUACUUAUUUAUGAAAUAUAGUUUAACAUAGUAGUCGGUUUAUUAUGUAUGCAAUUAGGAUUAAAGAAAUGUGGAAGGGUCUAACUCUAGACUAUAGUGGUUGUUGAUUAUUUGAAACCAAAAGUGUAUUUUAUUGUUUGGAAAUGAAAUUUGAAUAUUUUAUUAUUUCACAACUAGAGCCGGUGAAAACACGGAAUAAUGAAAACGAAAAAUCCUUACUCGACGGUUGGAAAGCUCUCACAGGAUGAGAGAAAGCCUCGAGAAUUGGAACUCUACCAAUCUAAUUUGAAUUAGAUUGGUGUGGAAUCAUAAUCAAAUCAUUUUGAAAUUGUUUACUGUUUUCUUGGCCACAACUAGAGCCAACAGAAACACGGAAUGAUGACAACGAAAAACCCUCACUCAACGGUGAGAAAGCUCUCACAAGAGAAGAGAAAGCCUCCAUAAUUGGAAGUCUACCCAUCUAAUUUGACCGUAUCUAAUUCAUCUCUUUGUCAGUAGUGUAUUACACUCUACAAUUUGCAAGGCAUUAUUGUUUUUCUCAGCAAGUGCUCCCCUGGACCACACACUCUAAUUUGGGCUUGUCACAUUCAAUUUUCCCUAAAUGAAAAUUCUUUGUCACUUUCAAGAUUAAAAUAUACCUACAGAGGAAGAAAUGUUCCAUAAACCAAGGAGAACAAGGACAACCUUCGUGUUUGACUGAAACUUAACAAACAAACGAAUAAAUAAAUAAGUAUAUAAAUAAACGCAGUAGUGCCAUGGAAGUGCAAGGAGCCAAAUUCCAGAAAUAACAAUACAAUUUUCUUUCUUUCUUCCUUAUCUCUGCCUGCAAAAGAUAAGGUUGGCCUUUAUUUCGAGUUUCACAUGAUGUAUUAAUAUUUAUUGACAUAAUUGAAUUGUUCAUUGGUUAUUAGCAUUUGGGUACAAAAUAUAUUGCUUGAAAUCUUGAAAAUCGGCUGCUAAAUAUUGGACAAAUUCCAGAAUUACUAUUCUGUUCUUUUUGCUCUGCUUAUGGUAGUUAACUGAUUUUUUUUUUCUUUUUUUUUUAAAGCUAAACUGCCAAUUUGCCUCCUGAACUAUCACGUGACUUUCAAUUUCUCAUCUGAACUUUUUAAUUAUAAAAUUAAGGACUUAAACUAUUUUUUUGGCCAAUUUUCCCCAUACCAUUAGUUUUUCAUAGAUUUCAUCCAAAUUAACGUUAACUCUUAUCACAUGACUCUCCUUUAUGGACAAAAACGUCACUUCGCUAAACCUUUAGACACAAAAGCUAUAGAAUCACACAUAUUUGCAUAGUUAUUUUUUAGAAAUCUAAGGUUUUUAAUUAUUUUAAAAAGUGAAGCGAUUGAACUAUCCUUGCAUGUUGUGCACAUGAUUCCAUUUAAUAGAAAUUUGGAUGGAAUGAAUGAAAAAUUAACAGCAGGAGCAAAUCGGCCAAAAAAAUUAGUUGAAGUCCUUAAUUUUCCAAUUAAAAAGUUCAGAGGUAAAUUGAAAGUUAGGUGAUAGUUCAGCAGGCAAAUCGACAGUUUACUUUUUUUUAUAAUAAUUAUUGGUUCUUCAAAAGUUAGGUUGGGAGCUUUUGGUGUUCUUCUGUGCAAACAUUCUUGUUAAAUACUUGAUAUUUUUGUUUGUUCUCUAUUUAUUUUCUGCAUAUUUUGGGGUCUUCUGGUUUUGAUUCUGUUGACUAUUUCAAGUGAUUUUCUAAGAGGAUGAAAAGAUUAAGCCUUUUCGGGUUUUCUGGUUGCUUUUGUUUUGUUGAACGUUUGAAUCUGUUUUCCCUUCUUUCACAGCUUGCUGCAACACAAGAUAAAUAUGGAAGUCAAAUUUGCAAUCAAGAACGAUGUCACCGAAGUAAGAUUUCUCUUCAUGAAAGUCAAGCAUUCAACUUUAAUUUGUUUUUAUACUUUGAUUUGGCUUACUAUGCGCUCUCGUUGUACUCUUGGUUCUUGCAGCUGAUUGGAAAUACCCCGUUGGUAUAUCUCAACAAUGUCGUGGAUGGUUGCGUAGCACGAAUUGCUGCCAAGCUGGAGUCAAUGGAGCCCUGCUCAAGUGUAAAAGACAGGCAUAUUCUUUGCACUUUUUCCUUGGGAAUAUUGGUUUUCGUUUUCCUAGUAGUACGACAGCAAUCAAAACUCAAAGAUUGAAUAUUGAAACGCGUUCAGUUUCAUCUUAAAUUGUUAUAUGCAGGAUUGCAUAUAGUAUGAUCAAGGACGACGAGGAUAAAGGUCUAAUUACGCCAGGGAAGGUUAGCUAUAAAUCUUUUCCAUAUCUGUAGAUGUUUUUUUCAGCAUGUAAUGGAGAUUUUAAUAUGCAUGAUCGAGAAUGUGGUGUGGCGUGGCGUGUUUCAUGUUUCAACGAACUAACUUCCCUUGGUUCUUAAUAUGCAUGAUCUUCGGGAACUGAAGACUGUUCUCAUUGAGGCCACGAGUGGCAACACGGGCAUUGGAUUGGCAUUCAUUGCAGCAAGCAGGGGCUACAAGGUUAAGCUAACCAUGCCAUCUUCAAUGAGUAUUGAGAGAAGAAUUGUGCUCCUAGCUUUCGGGGCUGAGGUGUACCUCACAGAUCCUGCCAAGGGUAUUAAGGGAGCUUUUGAUAAAGCCGAGGAGUUGUUGAGUGACACGCCUAAUGGUUAUAUACUUGGCCAAUUUGAAAAUCCUGCCAAUCCGAAGGUAACUUUUGGAGUAACUGUGACAAAGUCCGAAGGUAACUUUUGGAGUAACUGUGACAUGUCUAGAUGGUUGAGAGAGUUUAUGAAUCGUUAUAUGACCAUUGGUGUAGAUUCAUUACGAAACCACUGGCCCGGAGAUAUGGAGAGACACAGGAGCGAAGGUUGAUGCCCUGGUUUCGGGAAUAGGGACUGGGGGUACAGUUGCCGGUACAGGGAAAUUCCUUAAAGAGCAGAAUCCAGAGAUUAAGGUUGAGUUUUGUAUGUUUGUAUUAUAUAUACAGAUAUUACACGAGUAUGUGAGGAGAAAAGUUAUCAAUAAGCAUUUUCUUUUGUGUAGGUGUACGGUGUAGAACCAGCCGAAAGCCCAGUCUUGAACGGUGGCCAAGCUGGUGAGUUACUAUAAUGCCGGCGUUUUCCUCGUCUCUGGCUCUCUGCACUAUUGCUUUCUUUGCUCGUGAAAUUCUUUUUCUUGUAGAACAUAUUACAACAGAACAUGAAGAAGAUGCUACGUUUUUCAGAUAGCUUUCUUCGUCGUUAGAAUGUUAAACAAUUUGCAUGGUGUUACAUUAUAGUUUGAUUCGUUUAAGUGGCCCAUCUGUGGUUCAGUUUCUGUAGUAUGAAAUUACCAUUCGAUAGUAUUUGAGAUUUCGUCCUCCUAUAUUGACUGAUGCAUAUGUGGAUUUGUAAUAUUCUCGCUCGUGUUAAAGGGAAGCAUCUGAUCCAAGGAAUCGGUGCUGGUAUCAUACCUGCAGUUCUGGACGUUAGCUUGCUCGAUGAAGUUAUUCAAGUUAGCAUUCAACUAAUUUUAUUGCAUUUCCAGUUCUAUAAGUUCUUGUUUCAUUUUGGUGCCAACAACUCUAACACAAGCACGAAUUUCUCACUAACGACUGCUGAUGUUUAUGUAACAUUUUAGGUAACGAGUGAGGAAGCAAUUGACACCGCGAAGCAGCUUGCCCUGAAAGAAGGUCUUCUGGUAUGGUAUCAAUUUGUUGACAUCGCUUUCACUUUUGUGUCAGUGCUAGGAGUUUGUUACUCUCCAUUAGAUUCUUAGACGAGAAAUUUGAGACUCCUCUUGUUGCACGCAUUCAUCAUUUUUCCAUUUACGGGGCUGAUUGUGAGAGCAAAUUAACAUUGCAGGUGGGGAUUUCAUCUGGUGCCGCGGCCGCUGCUGCAAUAAAGUUGGCUAAGAGGCCGGAAAAUGCUGGAAAACAUUGUUGUAAGUCUGAUUUUGCACUGACCCUUUAGCUUAUACGAUUUCUUCGCUUAAACUUGACAUGGAAUUGUAAAUUCGUAAUCAAAUGCAAUUCUUUCAAACAGACACUCCAGGAACUUAUUCCAUUUAUUUGUUACUUGCGCAGGCUGUUUUCCCCAGUUUUGGAGAGCGUUAUCUGUCUUCUGCACUCUUUAAUUCCGUUAGGCAUGAGGCGGAAAACUUGAGUAUUUGCUGAAAGUGUUGCUGAAUCGGCCUUUUCUUAUAUCACUGUUAUUCUCUCCUUUGUAUUCAAUUUCGAACAAUCUGCUUUCGCAGUUUAGAUUAAUUUAAUUAAAAUAUCGUUCAAAUAAAGAAAUAGUCCUGCAAUUACAAAAAAAUAACAAUUAUUCAAUAUUACCACCGACUGGGAAAACUCAUAGAUUAAUAUCAAAACAUAAGAAAGCCAUUGGGUACAUUUAUGAUUCUAUAGAAAAAAUUAUCAGUAAUCUUAACAUAUUUACAUAGAAGGAAACAUAAGAGCGAUUGAUUUUGUCGAUCUACGUUUGAUUGGUACGGUCACUAUUGAAUUUGGCUUAGCUGACUCUAUCUACGAGCUUAAGCAGUGGACUUCUUGGAGAUUUAUUAGUCUAAGCAGGAAACAAUAUUUUAAAGGUCAUCAUCAAUAAUCGUAAUACAUUUACAAAGAAAGAUGCGAGCGGUUGAUUUUGUUGAUUUACGUUUAAUUGGUACGGUUACUAUUGAAUUUGGCUUUAGCUAACUCUAUCUACGAGCUUAGGCGGAGUCAGCUGGACCAGCAAACAUAUUUGUUUGUGGGUGAUUUAUGCUUUGAUUACUAGUCUAGUAACUACCUCCUCCCCGAUACAAUUUGGAGGGCUUUAAAAAAAUUUAGGAGAACGAAUUGGACUUGUAGUAGUUUAGGAGAACGAAUUGGACUCGUAGUUAGUUCACAAGGCUCUGUAAUCGUUUGGACUUUAUGUUUAGAUUGAUUCGUAAGAGUUGAACUUUAGAUUGGGCAGGGGCUGCGCGAACGCAAGCCCCCACGGCAACAAAUUAUGACAUUGACUCUCCUACAUUGAGGAGAUCAUAGGCAGGCACCCCUUCAAAGUGCAAUGAAGGUCACCAGCCCAGGCCAUAAGCCUUCUUGAUCGCUCAUAGACCCUGUCCAGGUAAGUGCUUUACUCGGUAUUCGUCCUUUAUUUUUAUACCCAUACCGCC
rnacentral:lncRNA from 1 species